rnacentral:rRNA from 1 species
GAUUGAACGCUGGCGGCAUGCCUUACACAUGCAAGUCGAACGGCAGCACGGGUGCUUGCACCUGGUGGCGAGUGGCGAACGGGUGAGUAAUACAUCGGAACAUGUCCUGUAGUGGGGGAUAGCCCGGCGAAAGCCGGAUUAAUACCGCAUACGAUCUACGGAUGAAAGCGGGGGACCUUCGGGCCUCGCGCUAUAGGGUUGGCCGAUGGCUGAUUAGCUAGUUGGUGGGGUAAAGGCCUACCAAGGCGACGAUCAGUAGCUGGUCUGAGAGGACGACCAGCCACACUGGGACUGAGACACGGCCCAGACUCCUACGGGAGGCAGCAGUGGGGAAUUUUGGACAAUGGGCGAAAGCCUGAUCCAGCAAUGCCGCGUGUGUGAAGAAGGCCUUCGGGUUGUAAAGCACUUUUGUCCGGAAAGAAAUCCUUGGCUCUAAUACAGUCGGGGGAUGACGGUACCGGAAGAAUAAGCACCGGCUAACUACGUGCCAGCAGCCGCGGUAAUACGUAGGGUGCGAGCGUUAAUCGGAAUUACUGGGCGUAAAGCGUGCGCAGGCGGUUUGCUAAGACCGAUGUGAAAUCCCCGGGCUCAACCUGGGAACUGCAUUGGUGACUGGCAGGCUAGAGUAUGGCAGAGGGGGGUAGAAUUCCCACGUGUAGCAGUGAAAUGCGUAGAGAUGUGGAGGAAUACCGAUGGCGAAGGCAGCCCCCUGGGCCAAUACUGACGCUCAUGCACGAAAGCGUGGGGAGCAAAUAGGAUUAGAUACCCUGGUAGUCCACGCCCUAAACGAUGUCAACUAGUUGUUGGGGAUUCAUUUCCUUAGUAACGUAGCUAACGCGUGAAGUUGACCGCCUGGGGAGUACGGUCGCAAGAUUAAAACUCAAAGGAAUUGACGGGGACCCGCACAAGCGGUGGAUGAUGUGGAUUAAUUCGAUGCAACGCGAAAAACCUUACCUACCCUUGACAUGGUCGGAAUCCCGCUGAGAGGUGGGAGUGCUCGAAAGAGAACCGGCGCACAGGUGCUGCAUGGCUGUCGUCAGCUCGUGUCGUGAGAUGUUGGGUUAAGUCCCGCAACGAGCGCAACCCUUGUCCUUAGUUGCUACGCAAGAGCACUCUAAGGAGACUGCCGGUGACAAACCGGAGGAAGGUGGGGAUGACGUCAAGUCCUCAUGGCCCUUAUGGGUAGGGCUUCACACGUCAUACAAUGGUCGGAACAGAGGGUUGCCAACCCGCGAGGGGGAGCUAAUCCCAGAAAACCGAUCGUAGUCCGGAUUGCACUCUGCAACUCGAGUGCAUGAAGCUGGAAUCGCUAGUAAUCGCGGAUCAGCAUGCCGCGGUGAAUACGUUCCCGGGUCUUGUACA